ensembl:lncRNA novel transcript
CAUAGAAAUGAAUCUCUUCUAUCAAGAUGAAAACUACAAACGACUGUUUCCAUGAAAGUGAGAAUAAAGAUGGAGUCUCGCUCUGUCGCCCAGGCUGGAGUGCAGCGGCAUGAUCUCACUGCAAGCUCCGCCUCGCGGGUUCACGCCAUUCUCCUGCCUCAGCCUCCCGAGCAGCUGGGACUACAGGCACCCGCCACCACGCCGGGCUAAUUUUUUAUAUUUUUAGUAGAGGCGGGGUUUCACCAUGUUAGUCAGGAUGGUCUCGAUCUCCUGGCCUCGUGAUCCGCCCGCCUCGGCCUCCCAAAGUGCUGGGAUUAUAGGCGUGACUCACCGCGCCCGGCCCUAUAUUGUGAACUUCUACAAAUAAUAUGAAAGAAACAGAAGACAGGCAACACAAUAGAAAGUGGGCCAAAUCAUAAAGUGGGCACUUCAUGAAAAAGGACAUCCAAAUUGCUAAUAAAC